UUCCUUAGCGCUAAUUUAUCGCAGUUUAAAACAAAGCUAGAAACACCAAACAUCAAAACACCACUUUCCCAAUAAAACACUUUCUUAAAGCAUCCCCCCCCACCUUCGGCUGGUGCCCGAUGCAGCGGGAUGCAGGGAGAGGAAGAGCCGUUCCUGCCGCGCAGAGCAGGGAGCACCGCAAUGAGGGGGCAGCUCCUGAGGCCCCUGACCAGAGGACAGGCAGAGUGCUGUGUGUGCCACGCUGCUGGAAGGACCAGAGCUGCCUGGGAACAGCUGCUGCACAAGGUGCUGGAUGUUCCUGUUGAUUAACACAUCACUGAGACUUGGAGAAAGAAGAACAUUCUGGUGAACCUCCCAUCUUGAUGAAGAUAAUCUUCUUCUCCACUCACAGAGUGUUACUCAUGCUGGACAGAAACAUCUUAUCCUAGAGAAAUGUAGCAUCUGUUAUUUACUAAAUUAAGUGAAUUAAACACAGGAUCCUUCAGAUGAGUCUUUUAGCUUCAAGCUCAGUUGCAGUUUAGCACCAUGCUCAGACUUGAUAACCAGCUUGGCAUGCAAGCCUUAAGCAUAAUUUAAGAAAGAACUAUUUGAUCAACAAAGAAGAGUAUAGAAAGUUAUAGCAAUAAUGUGUAUCUUUCCUUAUGUAUCAAAUAGAGAUAAAAACAAAAUAAAUAGUGGUAGUCAAUGAGAAAUAGAUUUUUUCAGUCUUCUGCAUGCUAAUUCAAACUAAUAAAACAGUAUUUCAAAAGUGGCAAGGCCUACAUAGAAAAGUACAGCCAGGGAGUACCUCUGUAGUGUGCUACGUAAUUUUAAGCAUUAUUUAAAGGGAAAGGAAGUAACCCCUAAUCUGCUUAUCCAGUGACACACGAGUGUAGAUGUAAGCAUGCUGAAGCUACAGAAAUCCUGGAGUUAUGACAGUGAGAAGGGGACAUAUUAUGUCCUGAAUGAUCAUAACAUUCAAAAAUGCUUUAUUUUAGCCAUUUUAAGGGG